rnacentral:rRNA from 1 species
UACAGAGGUCUCAAGCGUUGUUCGGAUUCAUUGGGCGUAAAGGGUGCGUAGGCGGCGCGGUAAGUCGGGUGUGAAAUUUCGAGGCUUAACUUCGAAACUGCAUUCGAUACUGCCGUGCUUGAGGACUGGAGAGGAGACUGGAAUUUACGGUGUAGCGGUGAAAUGCGUAGAUAUCGUAAGGAAGACCAGUGGCGAAGGCGGGUCUUUGGACAGUUCCUGACGCUGAGGCACGAAGGCCAGGGGAGCAAACGGG